rnacentral:sRNA from 12 species
ACCUGACAGUUGCAAUGGUGCGACUGACAUUUGCCAAGACAGGAGACUUAUAUG